rnacentral:lncRNA from 1 species
UUUAGGAGUAUUUUUAUAAUUAUAAUUUUUUAUUUUUCAAAGCUUUUAUAAGAUAAAAGAUCUUUUAAUUUAUUUAGGAGUAAAAUUAUCAUUUCAUUUAUAUUAUUUAACGGUGUUAGUGCAAAAGUGACCAAUUGAUAUAAAUUUAAAAAAAAAAAAAGAUAGUGUAGAGAACCUGUUAGAAUUUUAUAAUGGUUAGAUGAACAUAAGACAAAAUAGAGGCGGUACAGUGAUAAUUUCCCAUAAAAAAUACAAUGAUAAAUUAUUGGUUUAUGGGCAACUUGUUGAUUUCCAAGUCCUUUAUCUGAUCCAAAUGAUUAUCACAGGCUUGCACACAAAACAAAUUGUCAAUAUUACGUUAAGUAGUAAUAGUUAGUAGACAGCCAAAGCAGCUUGCUUAUAGAAUCAUCAUUGCUGGUCGAUAUCAUCUUGAAGAUGUCAUUCUCUUCAGAACAGUUGCCAAAUUAGUUAAUUGUAUCCACUGUAAUCAUGCAGAAGUUGGUAUUAAGUUUUGUGACAUCCCAUUUUGAAUUUGAUAAGAGCCUAUUGCAAAUCAAGUAGAAAGAAUGCAAGGAAACAAGUAACUCUUAAGUUAUAUGUAGUAGAAGGGGUGUGAACUGUCUAUAGUAAAACUGUCUCGAACAGAAUGUGAUUACUGGCCUUUCUUGAAAUAGGUUCAAGAUCUAUAAUCACCUGUCAGCCACUUCCAAGCACUUUCUUUCGGUAAUUUCAUCAUGCCCCAUGCAUAAGUUGACAUAUUAUUUUUGACAGAUAUCAUGUUGUCAACAUAGUCUUUAAUAUUUCAACCAAGUUAUUGCAUUGAUCUGCAAGCAUGAGCACAUAGAGUCCAAGAGAUCUGCCACAUUCCACAACUGCAUGUCAUCAUUUGUUCCAUGUUUAACUCAUAGCAUGAUGAAAUGCUAUUGGUCACUUUGACAAGAUAUCACAUUUAAGAAAUUAACAAGUUAACAAUAUUUUCCAGUAUGAUAUAAUUCAUAACAAAUAUUCAUAAUUGCAAUAAAAAUUGAGCUCAAACUAAUGACAAGAUAACAUUGCAUAGAUUGCUUAACCAUACAGUUAUCAAACAUAUUAAAACUAAUGAGAAAAAAUGAAAAAUUAUUGAUGGUAUUAAAUGAGAUUGUCCUUAUGCCAAAUAUUUAAAGUAAAAGGUCAUUUGAGAACAAGAAUCUAUGUAGACAAAUAGUAACAAAAUAAAGCUAUUAACACUAAAUAACAUCAUUGCAGAGUAAACAUAAAAAAUUUCUUAUUUGAGGCCAAGUGAUUAAAAAUUAAGACUAACACAAGUAAACAUAUAUUGUAUUCUACUCUUAAAUUGAGCUAAAGUCUACCAUCUUACAGGCCUCAAGAAUUUAUGCUGUGUUUACUUGUUGGAAUGAGAGUGAGGAGUGUGGAUUCGUCUCACUCCAGCGUUUACUUCCUUAAAAUGGGAAGGGAGUGGGAAUCCCACUCCGUGGGCCCCACCCAUUUUUGGAGUGGGGAGUGGGAGUGUGACUCCCAUUGGGGGAGGUGGGAGUGGGAAUCCACUCCCACCUCUCCAUUUUUUACCCUUUUAUUUUUUUUAAUUUAAUAUUUUAUAAUUAAUAAAAUAAAUAAUAUUAUGUUUAUUUGAAUAAUAUUAUUAUAUUUAUUUGAAUAAUAAUAUUAUAUUUAACUAAAUAAUAAUUUGUAUUGAUUAUAAGUUAAAAUUAUUUUAAAAUAAUAUUAUUAUAUUAAUAGAGAUUUAAUAAAUAUAAUAAUAUUAUAUUUAUUUUAAAAAUAAUAGUACUAUAUUUAUUUAAUAUUAAUAAUAAUAAAUAGUUUAUUCUAAGAAAAUAUUAAUUUUGUACUAAAUAAUAUUAUAUUAUUAUUUUAUAUAAUAAUAAAUUUAAUAUAAUUAUAUUAAAUAAAAUAGGUUUCAUUUUAUAUUAAAAUUAAUAAUUUAUUGUUCAUAAUUAAGAAUAUUAAUAAUUAUAAUAAAUUUACAAAUAUAAUAAAAUAAAUAUUAUUCAUUAAAUAUAUUUUUUAUUAGUUUUGUAAUUAAAAACUAUAAUUCUUUAAAUAAGGAUAAAAUUGUAAUUUAAAACUAUUUACUCCCAAUCCAAGACAAAGUAAACACAUAAAUUAGAUUUUGAUCUCUAUUCCAUACUUCCAUUCCAGUAUAAGUAAACAACCUACUCUCACUCCUACUCCACACUCCCAAUCCUAGGAUUCCUACUCCUCAGGAUUCCCAAUCCAAUCCAAAAAAUAAACGCUACCUUAAUACUUGGGUUAACUACCAAAACAAAGAGGAUAAAGGAAAGCUGCAACUUUGGCACUCUAGUAGCUCCUCUAAUUAACUCCACUGCAUAUAUUUUAUCCAUUUUCAACCUCGAAUGCUUAAGUUCCACAGAGCUCUUCAAACUUUUGAUGGGCAAUGUUGCUCCUCAAAGAUAAAACAAACCCAGACAUGCAUGUAAACAUAUUUGGGUUCAUUAUCUAUAUGUAGCAAAACAAAUUCUCCUCUAAAUUUGACAAAUAAAAUUUUAUAUCUACUGCCAGCAUGAAUCAAAAGAAAACAGAAAUAAGUCAAUAUAAUUGAUUAGUGUAUAUCUAUAUGUAUGUGUGUGUGUGUGUGUGUGUGUACUUUACCAGAUGAAAGUACCACUAGCCAAUUUGAAAAUUGAAAGAAUAGAAAGAGGAAUCUCAUCUAAGAAUCGGAAUCCAAAAUGUAAUGGGUCAGAUAGUCUGGAGUCAGUUUAUCAACUCCAUUUUUCGUUAUAAUGUGUCUUAAAUUUGUAUAUUAAAGAACCAAGCACUUGUGAGAGAACAUGUGCCCCUCACACAACAAACUCAAUUUGUCAUGUCCUAUAGUUCCCCAAAGAGUAAAAUCAAAACUGAAGAAUUCCCAUCUUUUAUCAACUUCACAACAUUAUUCAAAACAAUAAACUAGGGAAAAAAAGUUAUCUCUAGGAGAAAGUUUUUCAAACAGGUUACAUGCAGUCUUAAAAUUGCUUAUAUUAUUUAUUAACAUGUAAAGCAAACGAAUUAACGAAUGUGAUCCCAAAUUUGCUCAAAGCACCACUAACCAACUUCAAAAUUGGAAAAGUUCAAUGAAUCAAGCAACGACGACGAUGAUAAUAAUAAUAAAAAUAAAAGAAAAAAGCUUACUUGAGGUUAAGGAUGGUGUUGACGAUAAAGAAGCUAUAAUUAGAAAUGGAAAAUUGAAGCAAACGGCUUAACACAGAAGGCUGUAGUGUGCUUUAGCCUGAGGGAAUUGAUAAUGUUAUUGUUCCUCACCCAUCAUACAACAAAUGGUUGUUUCAAAAAAAUGUAAAUUUUGAUUAUGCACUUAAAACGUACCUUAAACAGUAAAAUCUGUACUUGAACUCCAUCAUAUCAUAGAGAGAUUGAACUGAUAGUGAUUCCAUUGUGUUCGCACAAAGAAUUUCAUUUUGCAUUUAACUUACUUCCUCAGCUCAGCCAUGGCCCCGGGAGACUUCCUCACAUCACCCCAUUACCAAUUGUUCAAUAAACUCAUUUGUAAAGUAUUCAAACAAUCGUAAUUACAAGUUUUAAAUCUCUUCAAAUAAAAAAAUUACGAGUUUUAGUGAGGAAUUACUUACUGCGUUAGGUGAUUCAAUCGACACAAGAACGGAUUAAAGUGACGCAAGAUUCACUCUGAUUUGAUAUAUGCCUACACUUUCUGCAACCCUAACUUUUGGUUGCACUUCCCCACGAUGAUUAUAAUUUCGUCAUCGCUUGACGAAUCAUCAUAAAUGUUUAAUCACAACAAAAAAUCUGAUCCCCCAGUUCCAAUUUUGUUUGUUAAUUGCUAUCUCCAGAUCGAUUUUCAGAUGAAAUUAGUGUUGUUAAUGCAGUGUUGAGAAAUUUUUGGAAAACGCGUCGC